rnacentral:misc_RNA from 1 species
AAGUCGUAACAAGGUUUCCGUAGGUGAACCUGCGGAAGGAUCAUUAACACGUAUCCAACGUUAAACAACCCUGUGAACUUUCAGCGCUCUUGUAGCCCCGGAGGAACAGCAAUCCCGGUAAAUCAAAUGGCGGAAAGAGUUUUGAUUCGGGACCUCUGUCCUUUCCCUAAGCAGUGCAGAAGGAUCCACUGAGUAAGGAUAACGCAUCACGGUUGCCAGAGGUCGAUCACCGGCCGGCAGACAUGUCACAGGGCUUUACGCCCCUUCAUUCACCCCUUGCCUAAUCAAGCCUCGCGGAAACGCCGGGCAUAAAAACCGAACAACUGUUAACAAUGGAUAUCUUGGUUCUC